GGGCUGAAGGUACCCGAAGAAUAAGCACCGGCUAACUCCGUGCCAGCAGCCGCGGUAAUACGGAGGGUGCAAGCGUUGUCCGGAUUCAUUGGGUUUAAAGGGUGCGUAGGCGGCCCCGUAAGUCAGCGGUGAAAUCCCACGGCUCAACCGUGGAAUUGCCGUUGAUACUGCGGGGCUAGAGUUCGGCCGAGGUCGCUGGAACGCGUAGUGUAGCGGUGAAAUGCUUAGAUAUUACGCAGAACACCGAUUGCGAAGGCAGGUGGCUAGGCCGCGACUGACGCUGAGGCACGAAAGUGCGGGGAUCAAACAGGAUUAGAUACCCUUGUAGUC
rnacentral:rRNA from 1 species